rnacentral:lncRNA from 1 species
AUAGAAGACUUGAGAAUUGAACGUUCAUACAGCUUACAACAAACUAGCACUACGUCCCCCUACUGUUACCUACUUUACAAAGCAAACCCACAAAGUUAUCAACAAGAUCCUUUUCCCCUUUCUUCAAUCUUAAUCGAUUUUGCAAUCAGGGUUUUACAAUACCAUCCACGAAAAUUGAAUUUGAAGCCUUGAAAUUUGCCCCCAAAAGGAAAAAAUUGCGUCUUUAUAUUUUUCCGCAGGAAAAAAAAAUUGCACCUUGAAAGGUGCAAAUUAAGUUCUGGGGUUAUGGAUGAUGAUGUGGUGCAGCGAGUAUUUCAAGAAGGAGGUCGCGAUUACUACCAACAGCAGCCUUCCACUUCCUCGUCUUCCCCUUCCAUUCUUCAAUCCCUUCCUCUUCAUGUG